UGUUAAAAGUAGAAAGAAGUAAAAUCUCCUGUGCCUUGAGUUUCAGCUUUCUGUUCAUGCUAAGAAAUGCAUGGCUACAGAAAUGAAUUCUUCAUUCAUUCAGCCAACGUUUCUUGAGGAGCUGCUAUCAUCAAGGCACCCACAGAAACAUUACAAGAAUGCAGAGUCGCAGCAGAUACAUUCUUAUGCUGGGUCUGCACUUUGUCUCCACAGUUAAUCUAGCCGACACAGCAUCAUCUUUGAACAAUAGAAGGUGUGGCAAUAUGACAUUACCUCCAGAGAGCUCCAGAGCAGCAAAAGCAUUCACAGAUCCGAAUGCAUCUCCAAGUGCCAAGAAUAUAGCUGAUACAUAUGGGAAUUGUUCCAAAAGACCCAUAUGGCAAUGAACAGCUUUAAACACUCCCAGCUGAUGCUGGGUGGGAGCUGGUGUCUUCCUGUGAAAUGUGCUCCACCUAAAACUAUCUUACUGCAAGAUACUGUGCUAGUUCGCUCCCAUUGCCUGAUGCUGGAAAUUUCAAGAUCAAAGUGUCUUCAGGGCUGGUUGCUGUUGUGGCCUCUCUCCUCGGCUUGUAGAGUCACCUUCUCA